GCCUUUGUGGUGUAAUGGUCAGCACACUUGGCUCGUAUUCGAGAGGUCCGAGAUUCGAGUUCCGGAGUGGGCA
rnacentral:tRNA from 1 species